CGCCUCCUCCGCCCAAACCACCGCCACCGCCUAGACCGCCACCUCCUCCAAGACCGCCACCGCCGCCCAAACCCUUUCUAAAACCCUUCUUGUAAAUGCCAUGCUUGUGGAAGUAAGGACGAGGUUUGUGGAAGUAUGGACGAGGCUUGUGAAAAAAGUGUUUGUCGUCAUUAACCUCGACAUUUCCGAAUGCAAACUCGGCCACAAGGGCGAAUACAAAGAUAAACACACACAUCUUACGGGAAAUUAAACCCAUGCUUGAGCGUUUU
rnacentral:lncRNA from 1 species